rnacentral:tRNA from 1 species
GAGGAUGUGGCUCAGCGGUAGAGCACUUGCCUCGCACGUGCAAGGCCCUGGGUUCAAUCCUCAGCACCACA